rnacentral:rRNA from 1 species
AUUGAACGCUGGCGGCAUGCCUUACACAUGCAAGUCGAACGGCAGCAUGAUCUAGCUUGCUAGAUUGAUGGCGAGUGGCGAACGGGUGAGUAAUACAUCGGAACGUUCCCUGUAGUGGGGGAUAACUAGUCGAAAGAUUAGCUAAUACCGCAUCCGACCUGAGGGUGAAAGUGGGGGACCGCAAGGCCUCAUGCUAUAGGAGCGGCCGAUGUCUGAUUAGCUAGUUGGUGAGGUAAAGGCUCACCAAGGCGACGAUCAGUAGCUGGUCUGAGAGGACGAUCAGCCACACUGGGACUGAGACACGGCCCAGACUCCUACGGGAGGCAGCAGUGGGGAAUUUUGGACAAUGGGCGAAAGCCUGAUCCAGCAAUGCCGCGUGUGUGAAGAAGGCCUUCGGGUUGUAAAGCACUUUUGUCCGGAAAGAAAUGGCUCUGGUUAAUACCUGGGGUCGAUGACGGUACCGGAAGAAUAAGGACCGGCUAACUACGUG